CCUACGGGAUGCAGCAGUGGGGAAUAUUGCACAAUGGGGGAAACCCUGAUGCAGCGACGCAGCGUGGGGGAAGAAGUAUUUCGGUAUGUAAAGCCCUAUCAGCAGGGAAGAAAAAUGACGCUACCUGACUAAGAAGCAUCGGCGAAAUACGUGCGAGCAGCCGCGGUAAUACGUAUGAGGCAAGCGAUAUCCGGAUUUACUGGGUGUAAAGGGAGCGCAGGCGGCUUGCUAAGCCUGAUGUGAAAACCUGCGGCACAACCGGAGGAGUGCAGUGGAAACUGGCAAGCUGGAGUACCGUAGGGGCAGGCGGAAUUCGUAGUGUAGCGGUGAAAUGCGUAGAUAUUAGGAGGAAAACCAGUGGCGAAGGCAGCCCGCUGGACGGAGACUGACGCUGAGGCUCGAAAGCGUGGGGAGCAAACAGGAUUAGAUACCCCAGUAGUC
rnacentral:rRNA from 1 species